rnacentral:rRNA from 1 species
GAUGAACGCUGGCGGCGUGCCUAAUACAUGCAAGUCGAGCGAACGGACGAGAAGCUUGCUUCUCUGAUGUUAGCGGCGGACGGGUGAGUAACACGUGGAUAACCUACCUAUAAGACUGGGAUAACUUCGGGAAACCGGAGCUAAUACCGGAUAAUAUUUUGAACCGCAUGGUUCAAAAGUGAAAGGCGGUCUUGCUGUCACUUAUAGAUGGAUCCGCGCUGCAUUAGCUAGUUGGUAAGGUAACGGCUUACCAAGGCAACGAUGCAUAGCCGACCUGAGAGGGUGAUCGGCCACACUGGAACUGAGACACGGUCCAGACUCCUACGGGAGGCAGCAGUAGGGAAUCUUCCGCAAUGGGCGAAAGCCUGACGGAGCAACGCCGCGUGAGUGAUGAAGGUCCUCGGAUCGUAAAACUCUGUUAUUAGGGAAGAACAUAUGUGUAAGUAACUGUGCACAUCUUGACGGUACCUAAUCAGAAAGCCACGGCUAACUACGUG